rnacentral:lncRNA from 1 species
UCAAUGGAGCCCUCUUAACGAAUAAAUCAAUUAAUUUACUAUUCAUAAUCAUAAUACAAUUGUGUAAUGAAAUAACUUCAUAGAGAGAUUGGAUGUAACAACAAUUACAUAAUACAAUAAUAUAAUACAAAUUGAUGAUACAAACGUAGUUAAAAGACUGAAUUGGGGGAAAUAUAAUAAAAGUAUGAAUAUUGUAGUUGUACAUAUAAAUAUACUCUUAGAAGUGCCAGAAAAUUAUUUUAGAACUUUUUUUCUCUUUUGAUAAACACAACGACAAACACUUCCUACACACGUUGGACUGUCAGGAACGAUACAUCGCAUUUGAAGGCAGUCUUUAUCUUCGUAGCAAAAAUGUAAAUCUGUGAUGUCAUAUAACAAAACAACAAUGUUAAUAAUGUUGUGUAUAAGAUAUAGAAGAAUUUUGAGGAGAAAAGAACAAAUGCACUUACAUACACCUUCCGUUACAAUGAUAAACACGAUAAGAAAAGUUAUCAUGAUACAAAUAAAUUUAAAAAUCUGAGUCAUAUGUUACUCAUUUUCUCGUAAAACUAGAAAAUUAUACAAUUAUUUUAUAGUGUAAAAAAUCUU